ACAUGUGAGGUGAUCGCGCUGCAACUACUUCAGUUGCGGUGAGGAAAGUCCACGCUCGCCCGGGCUGAGAUGCCCGGAGUUCGGAUGCCUGCCCAAUUCAUAAGGCAGGGCAGCCUGCACAAGGCUGACGGCGGAGGAAACGAGCUACGUUCGCUUUGCGGCGAAUAUGCAGAAGUACUCCUGAAAGUGCCACAGUGACGAAGCUUCUCGGAAACGGGAAGAGUGGAACGAGGUAAACCCCAUCUGCGAGAAACCCAAACUUUGGUCGGGGAACUGCUUGGAGGGAAUUUGAACCGAAGAGCGGAUUGGCUUAACAGCCGAUAGUCAAAUGGUUGCCACUCAUAGUGCGAGGCUUUCUCGAGCCGCUUGAAGCACGGAGGAACAGAACGUGGCUUACAACA
rnacentral:RNase_P_RNA from 1 species